rnacentral:rRNA from 1 species
UUAGUGGAAGCGUCUGGAAAGGCGCGCGAUACAGGGUGACAGCCCCGUACACAAAAAUGCACAUGCUGUGAGCUCGAUGAGUAGGGCGGGACACGUGGUAUCCUGUCUGAAUAUGGGGGGACCAUCCUCCAAGGCUAAAUACUCCUGACUGACCGAUAGUGAACCAGUACCGUGAGGGAAAGGCGAAAAGAACCCCGGCGAGGGGAGUGAAAAAGAACCUGAAACCGUGUACGUACAAGCAGUGGGAGCACAGAGCAAUCUGUGUGACUGCGUACCUUUUGUAUAAUGGGUCAGCGACUUAUAUUCUGUAGCAAGGUUAACCGAAUAGGGGAGCCGAAGGGAAACCGAGUCUUAACUGGGCGUUAAGUUGCAGGGUAUAGACCCGAAACCCGGUGAUCUAGCCAUGGGCAGGUUGAAGGUUGGGUAACACUAACUGGAGGACCGAACCGACUAAUGUUGAAAAAUUAGCGGAUGACUUGUGGCUGGGGGUGAAAGGCCAAUCAAACCGGGAGAUAGCUGGUUCUCCCCGAAAGCUAUUUAGGUAGCGCCUCGUGAAUUCAUCUCCGGGGGUAGAGCACUGUUUCGGCAAGGGGGUCAUCCCGACUUACCAACCCGAUGCAAACUGCGAAUACCGGAGAAUGUUAUCACGGGAGACACACGGCGGGUGCUAACGUCCGUCGUGAAGAGGGAAACAACCCAGACCGCCAGCUAAGGUCCCAAAGUCAUGGUUAAGUGGGAAACGAUGUGGGAAGGCCCAGACAGCCAGGAUGUUGGCUUAGAAGCAGCCAUCAUUUAAAGAAAGCGUAAUAGCUCACUGGUCGAGUCGGCCUGCGCGGAAGAUGUAACGGGGCUAAACCAUGCACCGAAGCUGCGGCAGCGACGCUGAUGCGUUGUUGGGUAGGGGAGCGUUCUGUAAGCCUGUGAAGGUGUGCUGUGAGGCAUGCUGGAGGUAUCAGAAGUGCGAAUGCUGACAUAAGUAACGAUAAAGCGGGUGAAAAGCCCGCUCGCCGGAAGACCAAGGGUUCCUGUCCAACGUUAAUCGGGGCAGGGUGAGUCGACCCCUAAGGCGAGGCCGAAAGGCGUAGUCGAUGGGAAACAGGUUAAUAUUCCUGUACUUGGUGUUACUGCGAAGGGGGGACGGAGAAGGCUAUGUUGGCCGGGCGACGGUUGUCCCGGUUUAAGCGUGUAGGCUGGUUUUCCAGGCAAAUCCGGAAAAUCAAGGCUGAGGCGUGAUGACGAGGCACUACGGUGCUGAAGCAACAAAUGCCCUGCUUCCAGGAAAAGCCUCUAAGCAUCAGGUAACAUCAAAUCGUACCCCAAACCGACACAGGUGGUCAGGUAGAGAAUACCAAGGCGCUUGAGAGAACUCGGGUGAAGGAACUAGGCAAAAUGGUGCCGUAACUUCGGGAGAAGGCACGCUGAUAUGUAGGUGAAGUCCCUCGCGGAUGGAGCUGAAAUCAGUCGAAGAUACCAGCUGGCUGCAACUGUUUAUUAAAAACACAGCACUGUGCAAACACGAAAGUGGACGUAUACGGUGUGACGCCUGCCCGGUGC